UCCCCCUCUCUAAAAUUCCUUCUCUGAUAAAAUUUCACCCAGCUUUAAAUCUCUCAAAUCAAGAUGUGAAUCUUAUUUAUCAGGUAUGUGAAAAUGACCGGGUCAGCUCCAAGAACUUGUCGCUCAGCAACAAUCUGAAGAGAUCGAGCAUUCCAUGAAUAUAGAUGAGAUUUUAUCCUCUGUUCUUGGUGAGAGAAAGGGCUAAGUUCGUAGAAAAGGGUAUGGAAAGAAUCCUCCCAAAAAGAGUCACACACAAUAGGCAAACAUAGAGUCCAGUGUAUCUUCUGCUAUGGAAAUUGUGCAUCAAGAGAUGCAAGCCGGCAUGGAUCGGAUCGGAAGUUGCAAGAAGAAUGUGAACAAAUGGCUACUGAGUUGCAAAAGAAUACGGAACUUGAGUUGCAAAGGAAGUUGGAACGUGAGUUAUCCAUGAACUUGGCAGAGGAGCGUGAACUCGUGAAUGUAGAAGCAGAGAAGAGGAUCCAGCUAGAAGUGGAAAAGAAGAUACAAGGAUAAUUUGCUACUUUCAUGAACAUAAUGCAACAGGUACAAGGUACUUAAACAAUGGUGUCGUUCAAAGAUGGCGUCGACCAAGGAACAGCUACGGCGCACUUAAUAUUUUAUUUAUUUUGGGGUCACAUGUAUAUGCGCACA